UGGGGAAUAUUGCACAAUGGGCGCAAGCCUGAUGCAGCCAUGCCGCGUGUGUGAAGAAGGCCUUCGGGUUGUAAAGCACUUUCAGCGAGGAGGAAGGGUAGUGUGUUAAUAGCACAUUGCAUUGACGUUACUCGCAGAAGAAGCACCGGCUAACUCCGUGCCAGCAGCCGCGGUAAUACGGAGGGUGCAAGCGUUAAUCGGAAUUACUGGGCGUAAAGCGCACGCAGGCGGUCUGUUAAGUCAGAUGUGAAAUCCCCGCGCUUAACGUGGGAACUGCAUUUGAAACUGGCAAGCUAGAGUCUUGUAGAGGGGGGUAGAAUUCCAGGUGUAGCGGUGAAAUGCGUAGAGAUCUGGAGGAAUACCGGUGGCGAAGGCGGCCCCCUGGACAAACACUGACGCUCAGGUGCGAAAGCGUGGGGAGCAAACA
rnacentral:rRNA from 1 species